GACGAACCGUGCGAACGUUGUUCGGAAUCACUGGCUUAAAGGGCGCGUAGGCGGGUUCGAAAGUCUGUGGUGAAAGCCUCCAGCUUAACUGGAGAAGUGCCAUGGGAUACUGCGAACCUGGAGGAGGGUAGGGGCAUCUGGAACGCUGGGUGGAGCGGUGAAAUGCGUAGAGAUCGGCAGGAACACCCAGGGGGAAACCAGCCGACUGGGCAUCUACUGACGCUGAGGUGCGAGAGCGUGGGGAGCGAACCGG
rnacentral:rRNA from 1 species